rnacentral:rRNA from 1 species
GAUGAACGCUGGCGGCGUGCUUAACACAUGCAAGUCGAACGGUGAAGGCGGAGCUUGCUCUGCUGGAUCAGUGGCGAACGGGUGAGUAACACGUGAGCAAUCUGCCCCUGACUCUGGGAUAAGCGCUGGAAACGGCGUCUAAUACUGGAUACGAGCUGCGAAGGCAUCUUCAGCAGCUGGAAAGAACUUCGGUCAGGGAUGAGCUCGCGGCCUAUCAGCUUGUUGGUGAGGUAACGGCUCACCAAGGCGUCGACGGGUAGCCGGCCUGAGAGGCUGACCGGCCACACUGGGACUGAGACACGGCCCAGACUCCUACGGGAGGCAGCAGUGGGGAAUAUUGCACAAUGGGCGAAAGCCUGAUGCAGCAACGCCGCGUGAGGGACGACGGCCUUCGGGUUGUAAACCUCUUUUAGCAGGGAAGAAGCGAAAGUGACGGUACCUGCAGAAAAAGCGCCGGCUAACUACGUG